GCUUGAAGUUUUGUAGUGGAGUGACUUUCUGGUGAGAUCCCUGACUCUUGCUAAUCCUGAGCCGGUUCCAAAAAAAGAUGUACCUUUUCUGCUUGUUCCUCUGAGCCGUUUUGGAAUUGGGUUUCUUCUCAGUCGUCUUAUAUAUUCCUUUAACAAGUAUUGAUUUAAAAGAUUCCUCUGAGCCUUUUUGGAAUUGGACGAACACAUUUAGUUUGUUCCUCUGCCAGAGUCACAUUUGCAAUAAUCAAAAGAGCUUUUGAAGCCUGGAUAGCUCAGUUGGUAGAGCCUCAGACUUUUAAUCUAAGGGUCUAGGGUUUAAGUCCCUGUUCAGGCUUGAUGUCUUGUAGUGCAGUGAUUCCUGACUCUUGCUAAUCCUGAGCCGGUUCCAAAGAAAGCUAUACCUUUUCUGCUUGUUCCUCUGAGCCUUUUUGGAAUUGGGUUUCUCCUCAGUCGUCUUAUAUAUUCGUUUAACAAGUAUUGUUUUACAAGAUUACCUUUCAAUCAAGGUCAAACCUCAGUUGGUAGAGCAUCAGACUUUUAAUCUAAGGGUCCAGGGUUCAAGUCCCUGUUCAGACUUAAUGUCUUGUAGUGCAGUGAUUCCUGACUCUUGCUAAUCCUGAGCCGGUUCCAAAGAAAGCUGUACCUUUUCUGCUCAUUCCUCUGAGCCUUUUUGGAAUUGGACGAACACAUUUAGUUUGUUCCUCUGCCAGAGUCACAUUUGCAAUAAUCAAAAGAGCUUUUGAAGCCUGGAUAGCUCAGUCGGUAGAGCAUCAGACUUUUAAUCUGAGGGUCCAGGGUUCAAGUCCCUGUUCAGGCUUGAUGUCUUGUAGUGCAAUCACUUUCUGGUUAGGUUCCUGACUCUUGCUAAUCCUGAGCCGGUUCCAAAAAAAGAUGUACCUUUUCUGCUUGUUCCUCUGAGCCUUUUUGGAAUUGGGUUCCUCCUCAGUCGUCUUAUAUAUUCCUUUAACAAGUAUUGUUUUACAAGAUUACCUUUCAUACAAAGUCAAACCUCAGUUGGUAGAGCCUCAGACUUUUAAUCUAAGGGUCCAGGGUUCAAGUCCCUGUUCAGGCUUGAAGUUUUGUAGUGGAGUGACUUUCUGGUGAGAUGCCUGACUCUUGCUAAUCCUGAGCCGGUUCCAAAAAAAGAUGUACUUUUUCUGCUUGUUCCUCUGAGCCGUUUUGGAAUUGGGUUUCUCCUCAGUCGUCUUAUAUAUUUGUUUAACAAGUAUUGUUUUACAAGAUUACCUUUCAAUCAAGGUUAUCCUCAGUUGGUAGGGCCUCAGACUUUUAAUCUAAGGGUCCAGGGUUCAAGUCCCUAUUCAGGCUUAAAGUUUUGUAGUGGAGUGACUUUCUGGUGAGAUGCCUGACUCUUGCUAAACCUGAGCCGGUUCCAAAAAAAGAUGUACCUUUUCUGCUUGUUCCUCUGAGCCGUUUUGGAAUUGGGUUUCUCCUCAGUCGUCUUAUAUAUUCGUUUAACAAGUAUUGUUUUACAAGAUUACCUUUCAAUCAAGGUCAAACCUCAGUUGGUAGAGCAUCAGACUUUUAAUCUAAGGGUCCAGGGUUCAAGUCCCUGUUCAGACUUAAUGUCUUGUAGUGCAGUGAUUCCUGACUCUUGCUAAUCCUGAGCCGGUUCCAAAGAAAGCUGUACCUUUUCUGCUCAUUCCUCUGAGCCUUUUU
ensembl:lncRNA